GAUCGCGCUGCACGCCCGGCAGCUACCAUGGCGGAUGUGUCCGAGAGGACGCUGCAGCUGUCGGUGCUGGUAGCCUUUGCCUCAGGCGUAGUCCUGGGCUGGCAGGCGAACCGGCUGCGGAGGCGCUUCCUGGACUGGAGGAAGCGGAGGCUGCAGGACAAGCUGGCGGCGACGCAGAAGAAACUGGACCUGGCCUGAGACCCCGCGCCGUCGGUCCCCGCGUGGCCACCUUGCCAUGCCCGCGCGGGAGGUCAGGCUCGGCGCCGGCCCGAGCCCGGCUUGCCUUGUACCCCCCAGCCUGUCGUGGUGGACUCUUCCCGCAGUGUCGCAGCUUGUUGAAGAUUGAUAUUGAGCACUGGAAAGAAUUAUGUCUUCUUGCACUUUAUGAGUCAAUUUUAUUUUUAAAAUAAAAAGCUUUAAACGCC